GAUGAACGCUAGCGGCAGGCCUAACACAUGCAAGUCGAGGGGCAGCACAGAAACAGCAAUGUUUUGGUGGCGACCGGCGGACGGGUGCGUAACGCGUAUGCAACCUACCUUUAACAGGGGGAUAACGGAGAGAAAUUUCCACUAAUACCCCAUAACAUCGAUCAAGGCAUCUUGAUUGGUUGAAAACUCCGGUGGUUAAAGAUGGGCAUGCGUUGUAUUAGGUAGUUGGUGAGGUAAUGGCUCACCAAGCCUACGAUACAUAGGGGGACUGAGAGGAUAACCCCCCACACUUGUACAGAGACACGGACCAGACUCCUACGGGAGGCAGCAGUGAGGAAUAUUGGUAAAUGGGGGCAACCCUGAACCAGCAAUGCCGCGUGCAGGAAGACGGCUCUAUGAGUUAUAAACUGCUUUUCAACAGGGAUAAAGCACAGUAUGUAUACUGUGUUGAAGGUACUGUAAGAAUACGGAUCGGCUAACUCCGUGCCAGCCGCCGCAGUAA
rnacentral:rRNA from 1 species